AAAACUGUUUCUCACCCUAAAUCGAAAACGUUCUUCACCCCAAAAUCAAAAAUGUUCUUCACAUUGAAAUCGAGAAUCGUUCUUCACAUUGAAAUCGAGAAUCGUUCUUCACCCUCAAAUUGAAAAUGUUCAAUCGUUCACACCAAUCGUUGACAAAAAUGGUUCUAUCACUGUGAGAUUCCUUUUUCAUCUUUCAUUCACUGUAUAGAGUACGUUGGGGAUUUAGAAUCAAAAACUGAUCUGAGUUUCAUAUCUUCAAGUUCAGGAUGGAGCCACUCUACCAUCAACUGCAAGGACUUUAACUUUUGGCGGUGAGGAUAUAUCAAGGGGCCUUCUUUGGGCGCAAAGGCAUCACCAGACUUAUCCACAAGUUAG